AUUGAACGCUGGCGGCAGGCCUAACACAUGCAAGUCGAGCGGAUGAAGGGAGCUUGCUCCUGGAUUCAGCGGCGGACGGGUGAGUAAUGCCUAGGAAGCUGCCUGGUAGUGGGGGAUAACGUCCGGAAACGGGCGCUAAUACCGCAUACGUCCAGAUGGAGAAAGUGGGGGAUCUUCGGACCUCACGCUAUCAGAUGAGCCUAGGUCGGAUUAGCUAGUUGGUGGGGUAAAGGCCUACCAAGGCGACGAUCCGUAACUGGUCUGAGAGGAUGAUCAGUCACACUGGAACUGAGACACGGUCCAGACUCCUACGGGAGGCAGCAGUGGGGAAUAUUCGACAAUGGGCGAAAGCCUGAUCCAGCCAUGCCGCGUGUGUGAAGAAGGUCUUCGGAUUGUAAAGCACUUUAAGUUGGGAGGAAGGGCAGUAAGUUAAUACCUUGCUGUUUUGACGUUACCAACAGAAUAAGCACCGGCUAACUUCGUG
rnacentral:rRNA from 1 species